rnacentral:rRNA from 1 species
UACCCGCUGAACUUAAGCAUAUCAAUAAGCGGAGGAAAAGAAACCAACAGGGAUUCCUAGUAACGGCGAGUGAAGCGGUAACAGCUCAAAUUUGAAAUCUGACCUUCACGGGUCCGAGUUGUAAUUUGUAGAGGAUGUUUCGGAUAAGGCUUUGGUUUAAGUUUCUUGGAACAGAACGUCAUAGAGGGUGAGAGUCCCGUCUAGAACCGAUAGCCGCGUUCAUGUGAAACUCCUUCGACGAGUCGAGUUGUUUGGGAAUGCAGCUCAAAAUGGGUGGUAAAUUUCAUCUAAAGCUAAAUAUUGGCCAGAGACCGAUAGCGCACAAGUAGAGUGAUCGAAAGAUGAAAAGCACUUUGAAAAGAGAGUUAAACAGUAUGUGAAAUUGUUGAAAGGGAAGCGCUUGCAACCAGACUUGUGUUUAACGGUUCCCCUGUGUCUUUUGACCAGGCUAUUCCGUUAUAUCCAGGCCAGCAUCGGUUCGGGUGGUUGGUUAAAGGCCUUGGGAAUGUAUCUACCUUCG